ensembl:lncRNA
CCGCGGUCAGCCCGGGGGACUGGUUUGCAUCCGUGGAUUUAACAGACGCGUACUUCCACGUCGCGAUUCAUCCCGACCACAGGCAGUACCUGAGGUUUGCUUUCGAGGGCUCGGUUUACGAGUACCUGGUGCUACCGUUCGGCUCGUCUCUCGCCCCACGCACUUUCAGCAAGUGUGUAGAAGCGGCGCUAUCUCCCCUCAGAGAGAGGGGCGUGCGUAUUUUGGCGUAUCUGGACGACUGGGCUCUGGUGGCCAGCUCCAGAGAGCAGGCGGCGGCGCAGCUGUCGCUGCUACUGUCGCACAUUCAGUCACUAGGAUUUUCUGUGAAUCCUCAGAAGAGCUCUCUGGUUCCGCGGCAAAAGUUAUCGUUCCUCGGACUGGAAAUAUGUUCAAUUACGGGCCGAGCACGGUUGUCAGAGCACAGAGUGACCGCGUUUCACCGCUGCCUCGCUCAGUUUCAAUUGGGACGCAGACUCCGUUUUCGCACGGUUUUACAGCUGACCGGCAUGAUGGCCUCCAUGAUAGCAGUGGUGCUGCUGGGUCUGCUGAAGAUGCGGGCCUUUCAACGCUGGUCUCGCUCUCACCGGUUGUGCCCAGCGCGGCAUCUUCAGAGAAAGCUGACGGUGACGCCUUCCUGCUUGCUAGCUCUCCGGCCAUGGCGGGAGCCCGGCCUGCUGUGUCAGGGCUCCCCGAUAGGCAGGGUGACGUUGCGCAAGGUGGUGUCCACGGAUGCUUCCCUGAAGGGCUGGGGGGGUCUGUGCGACGGGGCGACAAUGAGAGGAGUCUGGUCACCGACUCAGUGCAGGCUGCACAUCAAUCUCUUGGAGAUGCUAGCGGUUUUCUUAACUCUGCAGCAUUUCUGUCAGUACCUGGCCGGCCAGCAUGUCCUGGUCAGGACGGACAACACGACAGUGGUGUCCUAUAUAAACAGGCAGGGCGGCACUCAUUCGCUUCCCCUGCUGAGGAUGUGUCACUCUCUAUUGCAGUGGUGCAGUGUCAAUUUCCUGUCGGUCCGAGCUACCCACGUUCCCGGUUGUCUGAACCUGGGGGCGGAUCUUCUCUCCAGGGGGGGUCCUAUGGUGAGAGAAUGGAGGUUGCACCCACGGGUGGUGGCUCAGAUAUGGGAAAGGUUCGGCAGGGCGGAGGUGGAUCUGUUUGCAACCGCAGCGAACACGCACUGUCCUCGGUUCUUUUCCAUAAUGGACCGCAAUGCUCCUCUGGGGAUGGACGCUCUGGCCCACCCGUGGCCGAACGUGCUCCUCUAUGCAUUUCCUCCAGUGGAGAUGAUUUUGUCAACACUGGAGAGGGUGCGGCAGCAGGGCCUGCUCAAGAUCUUGGUGGCCCCUCAGUGGCCAGCGAAGUCGUGGUAUGCGGAGAUAAUCAGCUUACUGGCAGCAACGCCAUGGCGGCUCCCAGUCUGCGAGGAUCUCCUCUCUCAAGCGGGGGGUCAGGUGUUGCAUCCGCGCCCGGAACUGUGGCGGCUGCAUGCCUACCUGUUGAAAGGUCCAUCUUAUUAGCGAGAGGUCUGCCCCCUAAUGUGGUGGCGACAAUUCAGAGUGCUCGGGCCUCGUCCACCAGGGGUCUUUAUGCAUAUAAAUGGCGGGGCUUUGAACAGUGGUGUCAGGACCGCAGUGUUCUCCCGUUUCAGUGCUCUAUUGCUGACG